GUAAGAAAAAUUACGCUGGGUCUCCUGGCUAACCUCAGAGUUGCUAGAAACCCACGCUGUGUGCGUGGAGAAAAUUUACACAAAUAGUAGCUACUAUACAACUGGGGUUACCUUUUGUCUAUUUUAUGAUAUCUACCACACAGUAAAAAAACUGUAUGUCUCAGUUGAAGGAAACAUGUCUCAAUUGAUUAUAUGUUGUUCCUGACUGCUAAUGCAAAACAGUGCUCAAAAAUUAACACUUCUUCCUCUAGAAAAACAGCAACAAAAUUAAGUUAAGUAAGUACGCUAAUAUAAGGUUUUAAAGGUACUGUCCGGUAAAAUAUUAAAACUUGAUAUUAGUUACAUCUCGGCACAAAAGUAAAGAAAAAAGUAUUUAAAUACAACCAAAAUUGUCUUUCAUAAGUUUAAACUGAAUUUGUUUACUUGACCAUGCCAUUCUUAAUCGCCAUCUUUACUGAACUUCGAACGCGGAAAAGGACUGGGUAAAAACAUUAAUAUGCGCAAUUUAUGCAAUGACGUAUUCUUUGGGUUACCCCCGUGUGUAGAGAGGCGCGUGGCGCAGAAAGAGAAAUAAAGAAAAAAAAGUUAAUGAUAUUCCCAACAGAAUUUUUUUACGUUUAUCAAUCAUCUUCACAAGCAGAAAUUAAAACAUAAUUGGAUUUCAGUUUGAGCUAGAACGGCCCAAUAACAAACAACAAAUUCCCUCUUAUAAUGACGAUGGCCCAGACGCACCAGAAUUACCCGCUGCUUCUCGCACAGAUUUAUAUAUCAGUGAGUGGUGCUUAUGUGAAAAUUGCGAGAGGAUGCCUUCAGCUGUUGAGUGUUUGUGCUGUAACGAGGUGGACACUAUCAAAUACUUACAACUACGAUAAGAAAUGUAUAACAGAGCAUACUAAACAGAGCACGAAGAUGUCAACGCGGUUGUGAUUUUAAAGAACACUUUGUGGACAGCGUUAGUCGCUCUCCACGAUCGGGAAAGCCGUGGACUUAAAAAAUCCCUAGCACUCUUGAAAUUUCUGUUGUCAUAGUAUUUCCAAUCUUAUUAUUUGAGGAUGAUAUUUUUAGAUCUUAUCGAUAUGCGGCAUACCGCCAAUUCUGUUGGUUUGUUCAUAACCACUUGGGAAAAGGCGUUCGUCGGGUUAUACCAUCUUGUUUCGUGUCUAAGAUACGUAGAGAAUAUCCAAGUACGAAUGGGAUGUAUACUGGCUUCAAAGAAGGUGAAGAAAUAUCUCAAAUUGAUUUUUCUCGGACAAAUGAAGUUGACGAUGAGAAUAUUUGAUUGUAAAUUAAAAACAACAGUCUUUUGCAGGAGAGGCGUUCGAUCGCACGCGCACGUCGUGGCACACGCGUAAAUCGUUUCAGGCGUGCGAUUAAUUGAACGCCUGAAAAAUUAAUAAUGAGUUUUAGAAAUCAAUCCUAUAAAAUCCCAUUUUACAGCGUGCGAUGGCAGCCUUCGAAAUAAUUUUUGGAGUCUCGUCAGACUUUCGUCGGACAAAACGUUGAUAGAUUUCCGUCUUCGCCGAACACUUUUAGAUCUCAGAAUUAUCGAAUAGUCCUGGUCAUUUUCAUCCACGAGCAAGCCUAUUCAUAGCCAACCUGACCAUCCUAGCUAAUUCACCAACUCCUGACUUAGCUAAAAGAACUACGUAGACAUGAAUGUCUUUUGCCUGGCCCCUUCGUCGUUGGUAACCAGGUCUUACACAAGAAAUCCAGCCAUGCGGUUCUUAACUUAUGCGGAGGUGAACACCGACGGAGCACGGAUGAAUCAAGUCUGCAAAACUGCACUUACGGGCGGAACAGACAUUUUAUCAUGGAUUUAAGUGUAGAUAAUUUCUUCAUUUGACAAAACAAUUGGAAACCAUAGCUGGUCCGAAUUUACUGUGGUUUUUUUCAUGCCCCAAGUGUUAUUUAAACAAUUUUAAUCUUUCUGGGGGCGUUUAAUGGGCGUUUAUUCGAAGCAUUACGGUAUAAAAAGUAUAAAUAUAAAUAACCUCAAACCAAGUAUUUCUUUUUGUGUGCUAAUUGAGGUAGCUUUGGUAAUAGAAUAGGGGUAUUGGGAACGAGGUUUAUAAUUGUGGAGGAAGUAUAAAAGUAUAUAAAACACAAUUUAUUUAAUGCGUUUGUAUUUUCUAUAAUUCCUUCUUUUGCUGGUCGGCUUUCUGGAGUACAAUAUAUGUACGAUAUGACAACAACAGUUGUCAUAUCGUUUGGUAUAUUACAAAAAAUGAUUCAGAUUCGUCAAGGAGUUUAACUUGUAAUGUCGCGUCAGAUUUUUUCAUUUCAUCAUCGCACGUUGCUGUCUGCGUUUAAGCAUUGGCCACUCCAACGGAUGUCUGCAUAGAUCUUUUACGUAAAUAAUCUUACCCGUGUCUGGUCUCAGUAUCGGCACAAAAAAUAAAGCAGCUUUAACAUAAUCUACUUUAAUUUGUGUAGAGUCAGACAUUCUGUUUGUGUGGACAUUAAGUUCUAUCUCUGAAAGUGAGUUGCAUGCUUUGAACUUAAAUAUUCAUAAAUUGCUACAUUUUUUUAAAAAGGGGGUAAAAUAUUUAAAAAAAAGAUUAAAUUAAUCUGGUAAUAUUGUUCAGAGUAAAACAAUCAUUUUCUAUUUACAAUGUUUUGACUUGCCGAGAACCCAACGCUUACGUCACAACAAAAUAUUAUUUUAGCCUCCCUUUCAUGUAGAAUGGCUUCGGUAUAAAUUUGCUUUUGACAACGUGCGAUAUGAAAAAUUUGUAAACAUAAAAGAAAUGUUAUUAAGUUGUAAAACUUUAGAAAUAUAACCACUUACAUUUUCGCAACAAAUAAGAGAAGUGCAAUUAAGUUCAGGCUACUUUUUUAUUAUUAUAUUUUUACUGGACAGUACCUUUAACAUAUGAUGCAAUCAAAGAACAUGUCUUUUUAAUUUUUUUAAAGUAGUAGACUUUUUGGGGUAAACACUUGAAUUAAUUGCUUUUGGUUCUGGAAUAAUAACACAAAUUAUAGAAAUAAUGUAUUUCUAUUGGAAUAAGUAGAUGCAACACAUUCAGUAUGCGUAGACUAUUUAUGGAAAUCUUUGGGGAAUGUGCAGGAAGGUGCCUCCUUCGUGCUUAGGUUUGGGAGGAUUAAGGGUGAUUUGUGUCCUGCCAAAGGUUUUUAGCAAUCUUUUACGUACCGAGGUACUCAUCAGGGUCCUUGGUUUGUUCUUUCAUCGGAGAAUUUGUUACUAGGAAGUUAGUUUCUGCCUUUGUAAAAAAUAGUGUGCAUGGGCCUGAUCUCAAUACGCAUAGCUUUAGGAUUGGUGGGGCCUCUGCUGCAGCAUCUUGUGGUAUUCCAGUCUCUGUCAUUGAGAUCUUAGGCAGGUGGUCCAGCGACUGUUAUCGUCGAUAUAUCCAUCUUCCAAAUAAAGUGUAACACAGUGUUCUAAAAUGGCCAACCUAAAUGACGUGCCUAAGUUGUGGGACAUUUAAUCCAUUUAAAUUUACAGAGUGAUUUUUGUUAUUUACUGUAAUUAUAAUUGUUAGACUAGGUCCUGUGGUUAGUAGUACACAAUUCGUGUCGUAAUAUGGAUUUUAUGUAUGUCAAGUAUUAUGACUUUGUGUUUUUUUUGGCUUUAGACUGUUAUUUGCUUUCUAUAGCUAUUUUAAAGUUUUACGUGUAUCUAGGCUCCUUUGUAUGUGUGUAUGUCGUUGACACAUAUAAGCCGGUACUCUUAAUGACUGACGUUUUCCUACAAAUACCCACACUAAUUUGGGGAAAUUUGGGGAUGUGGGCCUUUCUAUGUCAGCCAUAAACCAUUUGGACAGAUGCGUGUGUGAGGCUUAUGUAUCUUAUUAUUACUUGAUAUUAUUAUCACUUAUUAUCAUUACGGUGAGGCACACCCUUUUAUGAAUCCUGAUAUUAUUAUGUGGUAACACACGCUGGGCCAAUACUGGACCAGCUUGUGCAUUCCACCUUUAGCUCAUGAUUAUUGAUAACACAUGUUUAUUGGGUGCAGAAGACACCAUAUGUGAUUAUCGGUUUAUAGUGAAGUGCAAGUGUACCUUCGUGCAUGAGAAUAAAUUAUUAAAUAAGUAUAUAUGUAUUAAAUUAAAUAAUUAAUCAAUUAAAAGAAGUGAUAGGUAAAUGUGUAAUUAGUUGUGAAAUGUACCUCGUGAAUAGAGGAAAUGAGUAUGUAAUUCAUGCAUGAAGAGAUCUGGGUCAUGCCUUGGAAAUCAUUCACAAUAUUAUAAUCCAUGAGGACAUAAGCUUGUAAGGGUCAACAAAAAUGUACAUACUCUUAGGAAAUUACCCUCUUUGCCUUGGGCAAGCAUUUUGGUGUAAUUACCUUGUUAUGAUUACUAGCAGCAGGCGUUAUCUGUCCUGCCUUACUCAAUUAUUUUCUUACCUGGCAUCCUCGAUCCAUUCCCUAAA